UACGGAGGGUGCAAGCGUUGUCCGGAUUCAUUGGGUUUAAAGGGUGCGCGAGGCGGGACAUUAAGUCAGGGGUGAAAGACGGUUGCUCAACAAUCGCAGUGCCUUUGAUACUGGUGUUCUUGGGUGACCUUGAGGUAGGCGGAAUGGGUGGUGUAGCGGUGAAAUGCGCAGAUAUCAGGAGGAACACCGGUGGCGAAGGCGGGUCUCUGGGCAAUAACUGACGCUGAGGAGCGAAAGCGUGGGGAGCGAACAGG
rnacentral:rRNA from 1 species